rnacentral:rRNA from 1 species
AGUGAACGCUGGCGGUAGGCCUAACACAUGCAAUUCGAACGGCAGCACAUUAAGAGCUUGCUCUUACGGGUGGCGAGUGGCGGACGGGUGAGGAAUACAUCGGAAUCUACUUUUUCGUGGGGGAUAACGUAGGGAAACUUACGCUAAUACCGCAUACGACCUACGGGUGAAAGCAGGGGAUCUUCGGACCUUGCGCGAUUGAAUGAGCCGAUGUCGGAUUAGCUAGUUGGCGGGGUAAAGGCCCACCAAGGCGACGAUCCGUAGCUGGUCUGAGAGGAUGAUCAGCCACACUGGAACUGAGACACGGUCCAGACUCCUACGGGAGGCAGCAGUGGGGAAUAUUGGACAAUGGGCGCAAGCCUGAUCCAGCCAUACCGCGUGGGUGAAGAAGGCCUUCGGGUUGUAAAGCCCUUUUGUUGGGAAAGAAAAGCAGCAGGUUAAUACCCCGCUGUUCUGACGGUACCCAAAGAAUAAGCACCGGCUAACUUCGUG